rnacentral:misc_RNA from 1 species
AACUUACCUAAACGUUGCUUCGGCGGGAAUAGACGGCCCUGUAAAACGGGCCGCCCCCGCCAGAGGACUCUUAACUCUGUUUCUUAUAAUGUUUCUUCUGAGUAAAACAAGCAAAUAAAUUAAAACUUUCAACAACGGAUCUCUUGGCUCUGGCAUCGAUGAAGAACGCAGCGAAAUGCGAUAAGUAAUGUGAAUUGCAGAAUUCAGUGAAUCAUCGAAUCUUUGAACGCACAUUGCGCCCGCCAGUAUUCUGGCGGGCAUGCCUGUUCGAGCGUCAUUACAACCCUCAGGCCCCCGGGCCUGGCGUUGGGGAUCGGCGGAAGCCCCCUGCGGGCACAACGCCGUCCCCCAAAUACAGUGGCGGUCCCGCCGCAGCUUCCAUCGCGUAGUAGCUAACACCUCGCGACUGGAGAGCGGCGCGGCCACGCCGUAAAACACCCCAACUUCUGAA